rnacentral:rRNA from 1 species
CGUGUAGGCGGCUUGGUAGGUCUUGCGUCAAAACCUGAGGCUCAACCUCAGUUCGCGUGGGAAACCACCUAGCUAGAGUCCGGAAGAGGAGAACGGAAUUCCCAGUGUAGCGGUGAAAUGCGCAGAUAUUGGGAAGAACACCAGUGGCGAAGGCGGUUCUCUGGGACGGUACUGACGCUGAGACGCGAAAGCGUGGGGAGCGAACA